rnacentral:rRNA from 1 species
AGAGUUUGAUCAUGGCUCAGAUUGAACGCUGGCGGCACGCCUAACACAUGCAAGUCGAGCGGUAGCAGGGCUAGUAGCAAUACUAGUUGCUGACGAGCGGCGGACGGGUGAGGAACACGUAGGAACCUGCCCUCAAGCGGGGGAUAACCAAGGGAAACUUUGGCUAAUACCGCAUAAUCUCGAGAGAGAAAAGCUACCCGCAAGGGCGGCACUUGAGGAGGGGCCUGCGUCCGAUUAGCUAGUUGGUGGGGUAAAGGCCUACCAAGGCGAUGAUCGGUAACUGGUCUGAGAGGACGACCAGUCACACUGGGACUGAGACACGGCCCAGACUCCUACGGGAGGCAGCAGUGGGGAAUAUUGGACAAUGGGGGCAACCCUGAUCCAGCGAUGCCGCGUGAGUGAAGAAGGCCCUCGGGUCGUAAAGCUCUUUAGGUUGGGAAGAAGUUUAUUUGUUUAAUAGACGAGUAGAUUGACGGUACCGACAGAAUAAGCACCGGCAAACUCUGUGCCAGCAGCCGCGGUAAUACAGAGGGUGCGAGCGUUAAUCGGAAUUACUGGGCGUAAAGGGCGCGUAGGCGGUUAUAUGAGUGUGGUGUGAAAGCCCCGGGCUUAACCUGGGAAGUGCACCGCAAACGAUGUAACUGGAGUAGAUGAGAGGGUGGCGGAAUUUCCGGUGUAGCGGUGAAAUGCGUAGAGAUCGGAAGGAACGUCAAUGGCGAAGGCAGCCACCUGGCAUCAUACUGACGCUGAGGCGCGAAAGCGUGGGGAGCGAACAGGAUUAGAUACCCUGGUAGUCCACGCUGUAAACGAUGAGUACUAAAGGUUGGUAGGGGAACCUAUCAGUCUUGAAGCUAACGCGAUAAGUACUCCGCCUGGGAAGUACGGCCGCAAGGUUGAAACUCAAAUGAAUUGACGGGGGCCCGCACAAGCGGUGGAGCAUGUGGUUUAAUUCGAUGCAACGCGAAGAACCUUACCAGGGCUUAAAUGUAAGUUGCAUAGAUCAGAGAUGGUCUUUUCUUCGGACUACUUACAAGGUGCUGCAUGGUUGUCGUCAGCUCGUGCCGUGAGGUGUCAGGUUAAGUCCUAUAACGAGCGCAACCCCUGUCGUUAGUUGCCAUCAAGUAAUGUUGGGUACUCUAGCGAGACUGCCGGUGCAAACCGUGAGGAAGGUGGGGAUGACGUCAAAUCAUCACGGCCCUUACGUCCUGGGCUACACACGUGCUACAAUGGCCGGUACAGAGAGCAGCCACUACGCGAGUAGGAGCGAAUCUAUAAAACCGGUCUCAGUUCGGAUCGCAGUCUGCAACUCGACUGCGUGAAGCUGGAAUCGCUAGUAAUCGGAUAUCAGCCAUGAUCCGGUGAAUACGUUCCCGGGCCUUGUACACACCGCCCGUCAAGCCAUGGAAGCUGGGGGUACCUGAAGUCGGUGACCGCAAGGAGCUGCCUAGGGUAAAACUAGUAACUGGGGCUAAGUCGUAACAAGGUAGCCGUA